rnacentral:tRNA from 1 species
UUAGCUCAGUUGGUAAAGAAUCUGCCUGCAAUGCAGGACACUUAGGUUCGACUCCUAGA